rnacentral:lncRNA from 1 species
AGAAACCAAGGUAUGAAUAAUUUAUUAAAAUAAAUUUUAAUUAUGAAUCUUAAAUGGACACAUAGACAAACUAGUGUGAGGAGCAGGCAAAAGAAAACAGGAGCACUUGCGAUCAAAUCUGGGUACAGGGGCAAACCCCCAUGAAAAUUUCAUUUGAUUCCAAAAUGAAAUCCCUUUGGAUUCAAAGCCAUGUGACCGUGAAUAACAAUUUAGCUCCUCAGAGGCCUUAGUAAUUAAGGAUCCCAUUGGUAAAGAUUGGAAGUAUGUUGUAAGCCAUAUUGUUUCUAGUAACUACAAUUCCUUCAAAUGCAAUUUUAGUUGCAAGGGAGGGUGGUGAGAAGUGGAAGCCUAUGACUGAUGUGGUUCCUUUUUUUUUUUCAACUUCUGUGUAUGGGAAACGUAAAUAGGAGAAGCUUUAUAUGGAUAAAGCUGCUGACGAAGCCAUCAAAUGCUUGAUUUAUAUUUGUUAUUUUUUCAGAUAAAAGGAAGCACAUGUCGAAUGUCUUAAAGAGAAGAAACUUUUCAAGGAUGCAGCUGCAAAGCUUAAAGCAGAUCAUGAAAAGGCCUUUGAGAAUGAUAAUGGUGAAAUUGGAGAUAAGAGUCACAUAGUCACGGCGCAGGAGAUGGAGGCCAUGACUCUUUCUUACCCGUUCUCAAGUCAUCUAUUUGUUUUACCAUUGAGUCCUUCCAUUUACAUAUUAUCAUGGUUUAUGUUAUUAAAUUUUGGCAACAUGUAAAACACAAUUCAUCACAGUGCCCCUCUCGUGUAUGUAUGAUCUCUUCAAUCAGCAAGUGUAUGAUACUUCC